GACGAACGCUGGCGGCGUGCUUAACACAUGCAAGUCGAACGGUGAAGCGCCAGCUUGCUGGAGUGGAACAGUGGCGAACGGGUGAGUAACACGUGAGCAACCUGCCCCGGACGGGGGAAUAAGCGCUGGAAACGGCGUAUAAUACAGGAGACGAGAAGGGGCAGCAGGGGCAUCUUCGGGAAAGUUGUGCGGUGGGGGAUGGGCGCGCGGUUGAUCAGCUGGUUGGGGAGGUAAUGGCCCACCAAGGCGACGACGGGUAGCCGGCCUGAGAGGGCGACCGGCCACACUGGUACUGAGACACGGCCCAGACUCCUACGGGAGGCAGCAGUGGGGAAUAUUGCACAAUGGGCGAAAGCCUGAUGCAGCGACGCCGCGUGAGGGAUGACGGCCUUCGGGUUGUAAACCUCUUUCAGCAGGGAAGAAGCGAAAGUGACGGUACCUGCAGAAGAAGCACCGGCUAACUACGUG
rnacentral:rRNA from 1 species